UCUCUCUCUAGCGCGACGCCGCCGCCGCCGCCGCCGGGAGCCGGCGCAAUCGGCCGCCGGGAUGGCGUCGCUCGGCUGCAUCCUCGACAAGCCCCUCGACCAGCUCACGGAGGACGACAUCUCGCAGCUCACCCGCGAGGAUUGCCGCAAAUUCCUCAAGGACAAAGGGAUGAGGAGGCCGUCGUGGAACAAAUCCCAGGCGAUCCAGCAGGUCAUUUCGCUCAAGGCGCUGCUCGAAGGCCACGGGGACGACGACGCCGGAGCCAAGACGCUGAGGAAGAUCGUCGCCUCGUCCGCGGAGGACCCCGCGCCGCGGGCGAACUCGAACUCGAACUCGCCCGACUCGGCGAAGGAGCUGAGCGCCGGCGCCAGCGUUUCGGAAUUCGCGGACGAAGCCGUCCCGUACCGGCGGAAAGAUCCGCCGGAGUCGGCGCCUCACGGAGGAGAUGUGGCUUUGGCCGGGGCGGACCUGGAGAGAAAUGCGGUUAGUCCCAGAAAUGUUGGUGCUGGAGAGGUUACGCUGGGGCAAAUGACAAUUUUCUACUGUGGCAAGGUGAAUGUAUAUGACAGAGUGUCUCCUGACAAGGCGCGGGCAAUCAUGCAACUUGCAGCUAGUCCAAUCCCUUUGCCGCUGGAUGAUUCAUCAAACGGAAGUGCGGCAAUUUGGUCAUUCCCUUGUCAUAUGCAGGCCACAAGUGAGAACUCGUGCCUAUUGCCUCCGAGAGCAAUGGUCUCUCAUACAACACAAACAGACAUGGAAGGUCAUAUGAAUCGGAAAGUUAGGCUGCAGAAGUACUUUGACAAGCGAAAGGACAGGGGCAGAUUUAAAUCCAGGAAAGAUGCUGGACCAGCCUCUUCAGGCUUGGAGAUGUUCCAAAUAAGGAUGCCUUUUCCAGAUGGACAAUUAAGCAAAAAUGCAAGGACCUGUGCACCACAACCUGGGAUGGCUCACGGGAAAAACAGGUUCAAAAUUUUAUUUUUGCCAUAGAUAGAUCAAUAGGUCUGCAGGGGACUACAGACUUGAUUGAAUACCUUAAGGUCCCUAAUAUGGAGAUAUUAUGUAAGGGCGUGGCCCUGGGAGCCGAUGAUGGUAGUUUCGUUGAGAUAAUAGCUAUACCUCGAAUAAAUGGCAAAAUGAUGGAACUGGUCUUACUGCAGUCGAUGUGUUCUGCAUCUGCGGACAUAUAUCUGCCCGUUCUCGUUAGAGAUCUCUAGAGGAGGACCGGCUUUGGAUCGCAUGUCUUCGCACUCGUCGUCGGAUCAAAUUUUGUAUAUUCUAGAAGUUCAAUGUUAUCUUCGAGGCUAUCUUGAUUGAUGAUGCUGAGGUUAGUUAAUCGAGAGAAGCUUUUCCACGCUCUCUCUCCCCUUACGUGCCACGAUGUAAGCAAUAUCCAUAUGUAAAAGAUGCGCUACGCCAUCUGCCGGUAUCGGCAUAGCUUAUGCUAGUUUAGGUUUAGCUCGAUGAUUGUACUCCUUUUCUCACAGUGAUUGAGUUGAGGGCUGUUGGAGCAUUUGUCUUGAAGCCGAUGAUGCCGAACAAAAACGGCUAUUCUAUCGCUCGAAUUGGAAUACCUUUUGGA